UUCCUACGGGGGGCAGCAGUGGGGAAUAUUGCACAAUGGGGGAAACCCUGAUGCAGCGACGCCGCGUGAGUGAAGAAGUGAUUCGUCACGUAAAGCUCUAUCAGCAGGAAAGAAAAUGACGGUACCUGACUAAGAAGCCCCGGCUAACUACGUGCCAGCAGCCGCGGUAAUACGUAGGGGGCAAGCGUUAUCCGGAUUUACUGGGUGUAAAGGGAGCGUAGACGGCAGGGCAAGUCUGAAGUGAAAGCCCGGGGCCCAACCCCGGGACUGCUUUGGAAACUGUCCGGCUGGAGUGCAGGAGGGGG
rnacentral:rRNA from 1 species